GCAGUGGUGGUUCAGUGGUAGAGUUCUCAUCUUCCAUAUGGGAAACCCAGGUUGGAUUUCCAGCCAAUGCA
rnacentral:tRNA from 1 species